UGAGUCAUUGUAGCAAUACAAGGCAGACGGCUCAGUAACACGUAGUCAAUCUACCCUAUGGACGGGGAUAACCUCGGGAAACUGAGGAUAAAACCCGAUAGAUCAUAAUGCCUGGAACGGUUUAUGGUCCAAAUGAUUCGUCGCCGUAGGAUGGGACUGCGGCCUAUCAGCUUGUUGGUGAGGUAAUGGCCCACCAAGGCUAUUACAGGUACGGGCUCUGAGAGGAGAAGCCCGGAGAUGGGUACUGAGACACGGACCCAGGCCCUAUGGGGCGCAGCAGGCGAGAAACCUUUGCAAUGUGCGCAAGCACGACAAGGUUAAUCCGAGUGUUUCCUGCUAAAGGAAUCUUUUGUUAGUUUUAAAAUCACUAUUGAAUAAGGGGUGGGCAAGUUCUGGUGUCAGCCGCCGCGGUAAAACCAGCACCUCAAGUGGUCAGGAGGAUUAUUGGGCCUAAAGCAUCCGUAGCCUGUUCUGUAAGUUUUCGGUUAAAUCCAUUAGCUCAACUAAUGGGCCGCCGAAAAUACUGCAUAACUAGGGAGUGGGAGAGGUAGACGGUACUCGGUAGGAAGGGGUAAAAUCCUUUGAUCUAUUGAUGACCACCUGUGGCGAAGGCGGUCUACCAGAACACGUUCGACGGUGAGGGAUGAAAGCUGGGGGAGCAAACCGGA
rnacentral:rRNA from 1 species